UCACAGAGAAUCUUUGUGCUGUAGGCACAUGCCACAUUCAAGGGAAGAGAACAUAAGUCCCACCUCUCUAUGAAAGGAGCAGCAACAUCUCAACACGAGCCCAUGGGAUGGGAAGCUGUGGCCAUCUUGAAAAUACAACCUGCUCCACCAUCUUUCCCCUGAGCUGGCCUCGUCCCUGACUGCUCUGCAGUCAGCGGUCCACAGUCUGCAACCCCUGGGUCCUCACUGCAAGCUCCCCUUGCCUGGGCCUCCUGGGCCGCAUCCAUGCCUCUUGAAAUAAGGGGAUUGUUUUGCUGCUUCUCACACCAAAUUGGAGAACACAGAGACCUCAUGAAGCCACCUUAGAAUGCUUUCUCCUUUCUUCCCCUUUCUCUCCUUCAGACAGGAAACAGAGGCCAGGGCCUGUAGGUGAAGGUGGACCACACCGGGUGUUCUCAGUGGCUUCCCGGGGCAGCUGCCUCAAUUAGAG
rnacentral:lncRNA from 1 species